AAUUCGCCUUGAGCAGGGGGGGGGGGGGUUCGACCCCUAAAACCCUCCCCCUGCGCACGCGCCUGCCAUACCAGGAAAUAUGGCCGUUGGAGCAAACAAUUACAUAGCCUUGGUCAGUUGGUGUGGCUAGCCACUCUCUGGUUCGGGGGCUAAUAUUAAUUAUCUCGCCUGCAUGUAAAAUACUUGAAUUCCAUUGAUCAUUUAGCCUUUGACAAAACCAUUAUACACUGGAAGGCAAAGCCAGAUUCUCUUAUUGAAUUGUAUUCCCCGCCGAGAUAUAAAUGACGUCAUUUUCUAAGGUUUGACGUCAUUUUUGUUUUAGGUUUAUGGAAGGAAAACAUUCAGUUUUAGGGAGACGCCGUACUCUUAGAAAAGUGUAAACCUUUAAUCGCGGAAAUUUGUAAAUACAUCAUAAUAAUAUAUAGUUAAAUGUCGGCCAGAUAAAUCCGUUGAAGAAGUAUCUCUCGGGGUCACUGGAGUUCGUCACUGGAGUAGAAACCAACAGUAAACUAUUCACGUCCAGUGUUAGUGGACUACUAGAGAUGAAGGCAGGGCAGUAUUCCUCCGUGUAUGUGGACAAUUCGUCAGGGUUCGAAAUUAGAAUUCACAGC
rnacentral:misc_RNA from 1 species